rnacentral:lncRNA from 1 species
UUUGACUCAAGUGACAAGCAGCAGGCACUAGGCAGUCUGCAAGUUUUUAUUCAUAUUUUUAAAUUAAACAAAAAAAAAGAAAGUAAAUUUAUAUUAAUGUUCCUCGUUUUUGAAAGAAAAAAAGGAACAAUGAGUCAAUGACGGAUUUGACGUCGGUGCCAGUCUGCAAGAUUGGUGUCAUGGUGUGAAACUUGGAAGAUUCAUACAAUAAUUUAAAAAACAAAGUUAAAUACUAAAAUAAGCAAAAGGAAAUAAAUAUAAACAAAAUAAACAAAAAAAAUUACAAAAUUGUAAAAAGCCCACAAUAAAAAAAAACCGAACUAAUAAAAACCGAACCGAAAUAACAUAAACCGAACCGAAAUAAUAAAAACCGAACC